GGGGCUGUAGCCUAGGGGUUAGAGCGUCGGACUCUCGACUUGAAGGUCGGGGGUUCGAUUCCCAAUCCCA
rnacentral:tRNA from 1 species